rnacentral:lncRNA from 1 species
CCAAGCCCUCUCCCUUGACACAUGGGGAUUACAAUUCGAGAUGAGAUUUGGGUGGAGACGCAGCCAAACCAUAACACUCAGAAUGUUUUAACAGGGAGGAACCCUAUCUUCUGGGAGAUGCAAAAUACGCUUGCACCAAAAAGUAAGCCACGGAAACAGGGAAUGAAGUAAAAAACCAAGAAUGUUUCAUGUGCCUGUGAGAUGCAUGGAUUCUUCAAGAUGGCGAGACCCAAGGAUAGAAAGGUCAAGAUGGCGGCAGGUCACCUCGGGACUUUUCUGGCUACUUUAUGGAAAUAAAAUCCUGACGCUAGCCCAUUAGGGAACUGCUAAAAUUGUCCAAAUAAGAAAUGAGAGAGUGUUGGAUUAAAAGGCUUCAGAGUUCUACAUCGUAUCCUACUUACAGCCCUAAAUACCUGUUAACUGCCACCCCCUGGACAGAUUAUUACAGUGACAACAGAAAUAUAAGUCACAUAAGGAGCUGCUGAAUGCACUCAAGACUCAACAAUCUCCAAAGAUAUCAGAAGGCAUGAAUGGAAAUCUGGACUCUGACAAUUGUCCUUAGCAUGUU